rnacentral:rRNA from 1 species
CCGUAACAGAGCAGUCUGACGAGCACGCCGCGUGAGUGAGAAGGUUUUCGGAUCGUAAAACUCUGUUGUUAGAGAAGAACAAGGAUGAGAGUAGAAUGUUCAUCCCUUGACGGUAUCUAACCAGAAAGCCACGGCUAACUACGUGCCAGCAGCCGCGGUAAUACGUAGGUGGCAAGCGUUGUCCGGAUUUAUUGGGCGUAAAGCGAGCGCAGGCGGUUUCUUAAGUCUGAUGUGAAAGCCCCCGGCUCAACCGGGGAGGGUCAUUGGAAACUGGGAAACUUGAGUGCAAAAAAGGAAAGUGGAAUUCCAUGUGUAGCGGUGAAAUGCGUAAAUAUAUGGAGGAACACCAGUGGCGAAGGCGGCUCUCUGGUCUGUAACUGACGCUGAGGCUCGAAAGCGUGGGGAGCAAACAGGAUUAGAUACCCCAGUAGUCCC